UUCUACUUGUCAAUGUUGAUCGUCACGUGUUGCGUUUUUAUUGGACGUUAAUUUUUUGCACCUAAUUAAUGUCAACCUCCAAUAAAAUUGCAACACGUGACAGUCAAUAUCU
rfam:Glycine soja cultivar W05 scaffold608_25, whole genome shotgun sequence.